rnacentral:snoRNA from 1 species
GCAUGGCUGAAUACUGUGUUCUCUUUAUCAGUUGUUUACAUAGCCAGACAUCAGGCAAAAAAAAAAAAAAAAAAAAAAGAAAAAAGCAUUCUUCCCUUUAAAGUGGUUACGACGGCAUGCCAAGUCUUUUCAUAGCAUGUCAUUAUUAAAGGGAAAUACAAAU